AUCAGAUUGCGGGUAAAGGCUCGUCCGCCGUGGGAUGGGGAUGCGUAGGAUUAGGCAGCAGGCGGGGUGACGGCCCACCUGGCCUUCGAUCCUUAGGGGUUCUGAGAGGAAGGUCCCCCACACUGGUACUGAGACACGGACCAGACUCCUACGGGAGGCAGCAGUGAGGAAUAUUGGUCAAUGGGCGGAAGCCUGAACCAGCCAAGUAGCGUGCAGGAAGACGGCCCUACGGGUUGUAAACUGCUUUUAUGCGGGGAUAAAGUGAGGGACGUGUCCCUUAUUGCAGGUACCGCAUGAAUAAGGACCGGCUAAUUCCGUGCCAGCAGCCGCGGUAAUACGGAAGGUCCGGGCGUUAUCCGGAUUUAUUGGGUUUAAAGGGAGCGCAGGCGGCUGUUUAAGCGUGCCGUGAAAUGCCGUGGCUCAACCAUGGCACUGCGGCGCGAACUGGGCGGCUUGAGUCGGCGGAAGGUGCGCGGAAUUCGUGGUGUAGCGGUGAAAUGCUUAGAUAUCACGAGGAACUCCGAUUGCGAAGGCAGCGCGCCGCAGCUGUACUGACGCUCAUGCUCGAAGGCGCGGGUAU
rnacentral:rRNA from 1 species